CCUGGUUGAUCCUGCCAGUAGUCAUAUGCUUGUCUCAAAGAUUAAGCCAUGCAUGUCUAAGUAUAAGCGACUUGUACUGUGAAACUGCGAAUGGCUCAUUAAAUCAGUUAUGGUUUCUUUGAUGGUACCUUGCUACUUGGAUACCCGUAGUAAUUCUAGAGCUAAUACAUGCAGGACUGCCCGACUUCGGAAGGGCUGUAUUUAUUAGAUAAGAAACCAUCUCGGGUCCGCCCGGUUGUGUGCUGAGUCAUAAUAACUGCUCGAAUCGCACGGCUCUACGCCGGCGAUGGUUCAUUCAAAUUUCUGCCCUAUCAGCUUUCGAUGGUAGGAUAGAGGCCUACCAUGGCGUUAACGGGUAACGGAGAAUUAGGGUUCGAUUCCGGAGAGGGAGCCUGAGAAAUGGCUACCACAUCCAAGGAAGGCAGCAGGCGCGUAAAUUGCCCGAAUCCUGACACAGGGAGGUAGUGACAAGAAAUAACAAUACAGGGCUACUUCUAGUCUUGUAAUUGGAAUGAGUACAACUUACAUCUCUUCACGAGGAUCAAUUGGAGGGCAAGUCUGGUGCCAGCAGCCGCGGUAAUUCCAGCUCCAAUAGCGUAUAUUAAAGUUGUUGCAGUUAAAAAGCUCGUAGUCGGAUUUCGGGUCGGGCCGAGCGGUCUGCCGAUGGGUAUGCACUGUUUGGCGCGGCCUUCUUUCCGGAGACCGCGGCUACUCUUAACUGAGCGGGCGUGGGAGACGGAUCGUUUACUUUGAAAAAAUCAGAGUGUUUCAAGCAGGCAGCUCGCUCUUGCAUGGAUUAGCAUGGGAUAAUUGAAUAGGACUCUGGUGCUAUUUUGUUGGUUUCGAACACCGGAGUAAUGAUUAACAGGGACAGUCAGGGGCACUCGUAUUCCGUCGAGAGAGGUGAAAUUCUCAGACCAAUGGAAGACGAACCACUGCGAAAGCAUUUGCCAGGGAUGUUUUCACUGAUCAAGAACGAAAGUUAGGGGAUCGAAGACGAUCAGAUACCGUCGGUAGUCUUAACCAUAAACCAUGCCGACUAGGGAUUGGAGGGUGUUCGUUUCGACCUCUUCAGCACCUUACGGGAAACUAAAGUCUUUGGGUUCCGGGGGGAGUAUGGUCGCAAGGCUGAAAC
rnacentral:rRNA from 1 species